rnacentral:rRNA from 1 species
GCGCAAGCCUGAACCAGCCAUCCCGCGUGCAGGAUGAAGGCCCUAUGGGUCGUAAACUGCUUUUAUACACCAAGAAAAACACCCACGUGUGGGUGCCCGACGGUAGUGUAUGAAUAAGCAUCGGCUAACUCCGUGCCAGCAGCCGCGGUAAUACGGAGGAUGCAAGCGUUAUCCGGAUUCAUUGGGUUUAAAGGGUGCGUAGGCGGCUUUUUAAGUCAGUGGUGAAAUCUUGCCGCUUAACGGUAAAAUUGCCAUUGAUACUGAAAAGCUUGAGUACAGUUGAGGUAAGCGGAAUGUGUAGUGUAGCGGUGAAAUGCUUAGAUAUUACACAGAACACCGAUUGCGAAGGCAGCUUACUAAACUGUUACUGACGCUGAUGCACGAAAGCGUGGGGAGCGAACAGGAUUAGAUACCCUGGUAGUCCACGCCGUAAACGAUGAUCACUCGCUGUAUGCGAUACACAGUAUGCGGCCAAGCGAAAGCAUUAAGUGAUCCACCUGGGGAGUACGAUCGCAAGGUUGAAACUCAAAGGAAUUGACGGGGGCCCGCACAAGCGGAGGAACAUGUGG